rnacentral:lncRNA from 1 species
CUUGGCUUGGAAACCAGGAAGGGGAAUAACAAUUGAAAUGUAAAUAAGAGAUACUCAAGUUAAUAAAGAUGAAAAAAAAAGUAACAAGAUACAAUUAGAGUAUAUUUUUUAUAGUUUUAUUAUUGAACUGUUAAAAAAAAUAAAGUUGGGUUUCACUUUCAAAAAAAAAAAACAAAACGGUUUAGAGGUUAACCAGCCUAAAGGGUGUUGACUUUGGAAAUGGCUCCUACUUAGUGGUCCUACCCCAACAAAGGUAUGCCAAACCCCUGCUAGCUCUGUGUAGAAGAGAGACCUCAACUAAGAGAGACCAUCCUUGGUCUGGCUUGGAGGCAGGUCCUGCUAGGAAGAGCCAGGCUCAAAGCAUAGCAGUAGCUGCCCCUGAGGCUCCUUGCUCCUCCCUUCCUUAGGUAUCUCCAAGGAGGCUCCACAGGUGAGUGGGCUCACAGACCAUGCAAAGUGAAAUCAGGAAGGGAGGAAAGAAAGGGAGGGCUACCAGCUGUCACGUGCUGGGACAGGGUGUGUGUGACUCUUCAAGCCAUCUGGGCUCCAAGGCCCUCUCCUCUGCAUCUUUCUCAGCUACUGGGUAGCAGCUGUCAGGUACAUUCCUGGGUGCUGGGCUCUCACCCUGUGAGGUCCUGGACUGAGAAGGCUGAAUGUGAUUUUCUUUUAGGAAUCUAACUAAGCUAGAAAGAGCAAAAUGACCCACGGUGGCCCCUGGCAGCUUCUGAGAUAUACAAACCUGAUUAAGAAAACUUGCCAAAAAUGGAGACAGAAGCAGGAGUUAAGAGGAAAGGUGGGUUUCGUUUGUUUUGAGGGGCAGGGAAGCCUCAAAAACCCUCCAAGAUAAUGGAGGUGUCUUGGACAUACCAUCUGAGAAGUCUAAAUGUCUGGGGAACUGGGGAAGAAAGAGUUCCCACAGGACUGAGAAGCCCAUCUCUGCCAGACCCGGUCUAUGGGUUGCAGAGAGACCUUGGUGACUGAUGUGUGUGACUGCAGGAGGAUGAAGACUGGGCCUUUAAGGUUGAUGUCACAUGCCUGUCUUAGUUUCUCUCCAUCUUAUUAUACGAGAUGGUGUCUCACUGACCUAGGGCUUGGCUGACUGGUCAGACUGUGGGGCCAGGGCUGGCAUCUCUGUGUUUCUACCUCCCGGUGCUGGGACCACAGGCACGUGCCACUGCAUCUGGCAUGUGUAUGUGAACCUGGGUGCCGCAGAUCUGAACUCAUUUCCUCAUGCUUGUACAGCAAGCACUUUACCUGUGGAAUAAGAUUUGAAAGUCCUGUAGACUCGUAGGGAGAAUAAAAAAGAAAACACAGUUAGAGCCAGGGCUUUCUGCAAAUGGGAGAGUCUUGGCUGAAAAACAUCAACGCUUAGCACUGCCUGUUAUCAGGUUACUGGAAGGCAAGAAUGUAGGGAGAAUUGAAUCCAUCUGUCUUAGUCAGCUCGAGCUGCUGUUACAAAUACUAUUGGCUGGACCGCUUACAAACAACGAGACAUUUAUUAUAGUUCUGGAGGGAGGAAGUCUGAGAUCAGGUACUAGCACGAUCUCCUGUAAGGGCUCUACCCACAACGACCUCUCAGAAGACCCCACCUCCAAAAGCUGUUACCCUGGGUCUAAAGAUACAACACAGGUUUUGGGGGUAACACAUUUAGCCCAUAUCACCAUUUCUAGAAUUAGUUUGACACCACUAGUUAGAUUUCUAAGCUUUGUCCUUAGCUUUAUUUUUAUGUGUAUGAGUUUUGCCUUCAUAUAUGUGUAUCACAUGCGUGUCUGGUGUCCUCAGAGGUUAGAAGAGAGAGUUGGGUACCCUGAAAUUGGAGUUACAGUUGGUUGUGACGUACCAUGUGGGCAUUGGGAAUUGAAACUGGGUCCUCUGCAAGAACAAGUACUCUCAGUUGUUGAGCCAUCUCCAGCCCAGGCUUCCACUUUUUUCUUUUUAUGAUUUAUUCUUCAUGUGUAUGAAUACUUUUCUCCAUUUGUUUGCCACAUGUGUGUUGCUACCCAUGGAGGCCAGAAGAGGGAGUUGGAUCGAUCUCUUGGAGCUGGAUUAAAGGCAAUUGUGAAGAUACGUGGUGUGGGUACUGGGAGCCAAACCUGGGUCCUCUCUAAAGCAGUACGUCCUCUUCACCAACUACUGAGUGUCUCUGGAGCCCCAGGUGUGUCUUCCCACAUGUAGGCAUAUCUACAGACUCAGACCUGGAGUGAUGGCCUCAUAGCACCAACCUCAUCAAUACAUGUGAAUUAUAAUUUAUUCUAGCUGUGCUAGGACAGCGAUCUGGAUUUCAAUGUCUGGGACUGGAUGAGUCACUGAAAGUCAUUGGAACUCAACCAUAUGAUUCAUCAGCAAAUGUUAGCAAUGGAGACACUGCCACAAGAUUUACAAGAAGUAGUGAAAAGCAUCCUGAGUGCUGUCAGUGUUUUACAGGGGAGCACUUUAGACAGUUGGCUGUUUUCACAACUGGGCAAUGAGUCGGUCGUGACAAAGCUCUGCUGUUUCAUGCUGGAGGGAGGUGAUUGUGGAGAGGCAAGUUUUAAAAAGUGUUUUUGAACUUCAUGAUGAACUCAAAAUGUUUUAAAGCAGGAAACAAGGUUGAAGAUCAACACCCCUUUUUGGUGAACUGUGAAUUGCACAACUUCAAUAAAUUGUCAAUUAAAAGUGAAUUGUAGAAAGUAGCUUUACCUGGGUUGAUGCUUUUCCCAUCUUGAAUGAGUUAAAUAUCAAGGCAAGGACCAAAAGCAACAUGCCUCUGAAAAGAUCCGAUCAUUUCAAAUGGAGCUUCCGCUUUGGAAAAAAAAUUAGUCGAAAAUAAAAUUUACAUGUUGCCUACUUCUUCUGCUUUCUUUGAGGAACAUGACAUUGAACCAGACAAAAGGAUUAUGAUGAUAAGAACACUUGCACAUGACUUCAGACAGAAUUUCUUUGACCCAAAUCUACCUGACACCCCAUUUGCACUUAACCAGAAGCCCACUCACUGUCAUCGCUGAAGAUGCUCCCGAGACAGCAGAGGAGGAGUUGAGCAACGGCGAUGUGGCUGAGAACGGUUUUCUCUCUGAUGCCAGUGACACAAUUCUGGACCAAGUGUUUGCAGUCCCCAUGCUAUUGACUGUGCUGCACAAUCUUCGUCCGUUUCCAACAACGUAUCUUUGUGAAAUAGGCCUUUCCAACUCAUUGUCAGGUCUAAAUACAGAAGCAGACUUGUUGUGGGAGAUGCUCUUGUUGUGGGAGACUGCCCUGAGAAUUUAUGUGGUGAGAAAGAAGCAAUCUCCACCUUUAUACUGAUGUUGGCCUUUUAUGCAUACUGUUGCAAAGUGUAGCAAUGUACCUUACUGUUAAGACUGUUACCCAUGCCACACAAUGCUUCAAGACAAAAAUUCCACUUAUUUGUAAUUAGAAGUAAACAGUUUACAAUAUAUAAUUACAUAUUGCUUUGGAAUUAAUCACGAUGCUUUAAUUAUGUUCAAUUUGCAAUAACAAAAAUACAUCCUGCGCAUCAGAUAUUUACAUUAGGAUUCAUAACUGUAGCCAAAUUACAGUUAUGAAGUAGCAAGGAAAAUAAUUUUAUGAUUGGGGGUCGUCACAACGUGAGGGACUGACUGUAAUAAAGGGUCGCAGCAUUAGGAAGGUUGAGAACUACUGUCCUAAAUGGGCUUCUACAUGACUUUUAAAGGUCAGCCAUAUGACUAUCAGUAUUAACCAGUACUGCAUUAAAUCUAUGAAUUUGCUUUAAAAGAGUGGCGUUGGGGCCUAUGUUUUUGAAUGUUGCGUCAAAUGGGUGGUGUCGUACGUACUGUGGGGGCAGGUGCACUGCUGAGGUUUGAGAAUUGUGGGUUUAAGUGUGAACGUAGCCUGGUUCUUUGACCUCAGUUUCCUCAUUUGUAAACAAGUUUUACUUUUGAUUUGCAAACGAAGCUAUUGAAAACAACGUUGUAAUGCCGUCGGAUGCAGAUGGAGUUCGUAGAUAAUACAUAGAGCGGUUUCUGGCAUACACUGAGUACUCAUGUGCUGGCCAGGAUUCUAUCUUAUUUCUGUCCUUUAAAACAUGGUGUCAUUAGCAGAGGGUCUUACCAUCAUGUUCUGGUGGGGAGGGGUGUCACCAAGAGCAAUGGAAAGUACUCUGUGUUGUUUUUUAGUGGGGGCUUCUAUGGGAUUCCUCUGGCCAACAUCUGGAAAAGAUGUAUCCCGUAUCUGGUGUCCAGCUUUUUAUUGGAUAGCCUAUGGUGUCUGAAAGGGGUGUUGCCCCCUUCCAACUUAACUUCAUUUCAGUUCUUUAUAUAUAGGUAUGUAUGUGUAUAUAAUGUUUAUUUUUAGGUAGCUUCUAUAGUAGUAGGCUUCCGUAUGACUUUCUCAAAACUCUUUAGUGUUAAUUCCCCUUUCCCAUGCUGCCUCAUCCUCUAUUCUGUUUUCUGUCCAUCAGUACAAGCAGAUAUUCCCGCUCCAUUCCUCCUUGAUGCCACCUGUGCUCUCUGCCCUUCUCCCUAAGGGCUCUCCUAUCCCAUGGCUCCCGCCAUUUUCAAAAUGUAGUUAAUACAGAUGUUGUUAUAUAUGUUUAUUUAAAAUUCAGCUUUUCUGUUCUGAAAGUACAUCCAGGAACAUAAUGAUCUGUGUUGGGGAUGGAUGCUUAUGGGAAGAUGUUAAAAGAGAGCACAAGGGGAUGGAACCCUCUGGGGUCUUUGACCUGUACCAGGCACCCAUCCCUUUCUCUCCCCUUUCCAAUGGGAUGGGCUCAGCAAGUGCUUGAUAUGUUAGGACAUUUGCCAAGUUAAUUGUGGUUAUUUCUAGGUGCAGAGCCUGUGAAACAUGACUCAAAAGGAUCCAUAGUAGAGAGUCCAUGGUAUCUUUUCUGCUGGUACUCUAGUUUUCUCCUGAGCCAGGAAAGUGAUAUUAAAAGACAGAAAUUAGAACAAAUUUCUAAUGUAUGUAUAUAAGUAUGAUAUACCACAGGGAAACCCACUACUUUGUCUUCUGGCCUCCAAAUGAAGAAAAAUAAAAUUAAAUAAAACAAUGCAAGCUGAAAUGAAUUGUUUUCUGCUUUCAAAGUCCUCUUUGCAUCCCUUUGUACUUCCUGGAAUCCCCGCAGAGUGGUGAAAACCCAUGGAAGGCCUCCACUUCAGCCUGUGGGGUUAGUUUCAGCCCAAAUACCUAAUACCCGCUGAGGCGGGAAUAAGAAAGGUUGGAACUGUCUCUGGGUUAUUUUCUCCAAUCAGGGAGAUAACGUCUAAAAAUGUUUUGAAAGGAAAGUGUGAAGAGUGGCAAUUGGCCUCCAUGAUAAAUAGAACUAUAAAUGUCAAAGACUCAAAAUGGUACAGUUUCCACAGACAAGAAAUUGCUUAGGACAAAGCUUGGUUGCGUUUACACAUCUUAAAAGUUUUAACAGGCCAACACUGCCAUUCUUCAGGUGUUGCUAUUUCAGAGUCUUUAAUUUGUUUAUAAUUUUUUUCCAGGCUGGUAUAGCCCAAGAUGGCCUCAAAUUCUUGAUCCACUUGCUUUGGCUUCCCAAGUGCUAGGAUUACAGACAUGCCGUACCACUCUCAGCUCGUACUUCCAAUGUUUCUACAGGCAGAAAUGCCCCGCAUCUUAUCCUGCAACAGGGGAUGGAGGGAAGUGAGUGGUUUUCCACUCAUGCUUCAUAACAGGUCUCAGACUACUGUGAGUCCCAAUCUCUGUUCUCCCACAAUGAUUCUCCAAUCUCUCUUCCAGGUCUCAGCCUGACAGGAAUCUCAUUCUCUGUUCCUCAAUGAUGAUCCUCCUAUCCCCACAUCCCAGGUCUCUGCCUACAAUGAACCCCACUCUCUGUUAACCACAACUCUAGGCUGAUCCUUUGGGCAGGGUGGAGGUUCAACUCUGGAGCCUUUGUUGGCUAAAGGGCAGGAUGAUCCUAGGGCCUUAGUGAAAUCCUAAGUCCAGUCUCUAUCAUAGGGUCUCUCCCCAAAGUCACGGCAUUGUAAAAAGUGUUGGCAGUGUCUCAAAUGAAGAUGGGCUGGCAACAGGGAAGGCAUCACAGUGUUUCUAGCAACCCCCGACCCUUGGUUGCUAUGGGCAGAGGCCAAAGAAAGAUGGAAGGGCUCGGGCUGUGCUUUGCACACCUUGUCCUCCCACGAGCAAGGGGCUGACAGAGUAUGGAAGUAGAGAAAGCCUGGCUUAUUUUAAAAAGACUGGGAGAAGGGAAAUAAAAUGGUCCUAGGAAGCUGAUGAAAGGCAGGAG